UGGGGAAUAUUGGGCAAUGGGCGCAAGCCUGACCCAGCAACGCCGCGUGAGGGAAGAAGGUUUUCGGAUUGUAAACCUCUGUCGCAGAAGACGAAGGAAGUGACGGUAUUCUGUGAGGAAGCCCCGGCUAACUACGUGCCAGCAGCCGCGGUAAUACGUAGGGGGCGAGCGUUGUCCGGAAUUACUGGGCGUAAAGGGUGCGUAGGCGGUUGAUUAAGUUGGAUGUGAAAUACCCGGGCUUAACGUGGGGGGUGCAUUCAAAACUGGUUAACUAGAGUACAGGAGAGGGAAGCGGAAUUCCUAGUGUAGCGGUGAAAUGCGUAGAUAUUAGGAGGAACACCGGUGGCGAAGGCGGCUUUCUGGACUGACACUGACGCUGAGGCACGAAAGCGUGGGGAGCAAACAGG
rnacentral:rRNA from 1 species